rnacentral:rRNA from 1 species
AGAGUUUGAUCAUGGCUCAGAACGAACGCUGGCGGCAGGCCUAACACAUGCAAGUCGAGCGAGCUCUUCGGAGCUAGCGGCGGACGGGUUAGUAACGCGUGGGAACGUGCCCUUCACUGCGGAAUAGCCACUGGAAACGGUGAGUAAUACCGCAUACGCCUUCGGGGGAAAGAUUUAUCGGUGAAGGAUCGGCCCGCGUUAGAUUAGAUAGUUGGUGGGGUAACGGCCUACCAAGUCUACGAUCUAUAGCUGGUUUUAGAGGAUGAUCAGCAACACUGGGACUGAGACACGGCCCAGACUCCUACGGGAGGCAGCAGUGGGGAAUCUUGGACAAUGGGCGCAAGCCUGAUCCAGCCAUGCCGCGUGAGUGAUGAAGGCCUUAGGGUCGUAAAGCUCUUUCGCCAGAGAUGAUAAUGACAGUAUCUGGAAAAGAAACCCCGGCUAACUCCGUGC